AGCGCCAGGCCUGGCCAGGAAUCCGGGCUGGAGCCGCGGGGAGCUGCCUCUUCCGUGAGCCUCUAGCCUCCCGCGGCGAGGAGAUCUGCAGGGCAGGAGUGCACGGCCCGCAGGCGUAAGGGAGAAAAGCAAGGAGUCCCAAGAGUUUCUGGAAGCCACCUUGUGACACUUCAGAGGAGGCAGAGCCAAGAGACUAGAAGGACAUUGGUCCUCGGUAACAGCUGCUGGAUCGAGCCUUGCCUGAAGCUAUUCCUAGUUCUAGACUCUGCCUAUGCCUCUCACUGUUGUGGCUUCUCGCAUUGCGGAGCACAGGUUCCGGUCGCGCAGCCUCAGCGGCCAUGGCUCAUGGACCCAGCCGCUCCGCGGCAUGUGGGAUCUUCCUGGACCGGGGCACGAACCCGUUUCCCCUGUAUCGGCAGGCGGACCCUCAACCACUGCGCCACCAGGGAAGCCCCGAAUUAUUGGUCUUUUAUCCUUACUGAUUCAUAGGAGCUUUUUAAAGAUAAGGGAAAUUAGCUCUUUGUGAUAGAUUUCAAAUAUUUUCCUUUCCUAUUCAGCUGUCA